GCAGAGGUACUCGAGUGGCGAACGGGUGAGUAACACGUGGGUGAUCUGCCCUGCACUUCGGGAUAAGCCUGGGAAACUGGGUCUAAUACCGGAUAGGACGAUGGUUUGGAUGCCAUUGUGGAAAGUUUUUUCGGUGUGGGAUGAGCUCGCGGCCUAUCAGCUUGUUGGUGGGGUAAUGGCCUACCAAGGCGUCGACGGGUAGCCGGCCUGAGAGGGUGUACGGCCACAUUGGGACUGAGAUACGGCCCAGACUCCUACGGGAGGCAGCAGUGGGGAAUAUUGCACAAUGGGCGCAAGCCUGAUGCAGCGACGCCGCGUGGGGGAUGACGGCCUUCGGGUUGUAAACUCCUUUCGCUAGGGACGAAGCAUUUUGUGACGGUACCUGGAGAAGAAGCACCGGCUAACUACGUGCCAGCAGCCGCGGUAAUACGUAGGGUGCGAGCGUUGUCCGGAAUUACUGGGCGUAAAGAGCUCGUAGGUGGUUUGUCGCGUCGUUUGUGUAAGCCCGCAGCUUAACUGCGGGACUGCAGGCGAUACGGGCAUAACUUGAGUGCUGUAGGGGAGACUGGAAUUCCUGGUGUAGCGGUGGAAUGCGCAGAUAUCAGGAGGAACACCGAUGGCGAAGGCAGGUCUCUGGG
rnacentral:rRNA from 1 species